CUCCUCCCCGCCCGAGGGAGGGCGAGGGCGGCGAGUUCGAGGCGGCGACGAGGCUCAGUGGGUGUGUGGCAGCGACCCAGGCCAGAGGUGGGAGCUCCGCCCUCGCUCGGCUCGGCGGUGCUGAAUUGACACUAAAUCCCCACUUCCUCUAAAAACCGUGGCUGUCACAUGACGCAGGGAAGACAGCGCCACCCUAUGACAAACCUCUGAAAGGAAAAAAAAGGGGGAAAAGAAAGUGCGGGGUUCGAACAGGGUGGAGAAGAAGGAGGAGGGACUCGAGAACCGAAGCGAGUGAAGCGACCGGCGGGCCAUGAGCCUCGCCGCCGCCAUGGCCUUGUUGGACAUCACGUCUGUGGUGAAGUGAUCGGCGAAGUGUGCCGCCGGUGGGUGACACGGGAUCAUUUGGAUGAGCGGCCGACACUGCACUUGAGGGCAGCAUGGAGGUCCGGUGGGGGCAGGCGGGCGCGCGCGCGGGCGGCUGGCGACAGCGCUGGAAGAGCAGGUCACGGGCGGCUCCCUUCCUCAUCCUGCUCAUCAUGUUGACGAUGGCUGAAGGUACGUACGGCCCUCUUUGUGCUUUUU